rnacentral:rRNA from 1 species
UACGUAGGGUGCAAGCGUUAAUCGGAAUUACUGGGCGUAAAGCGCACGUAGGCGGCGAUUCAAGUCAGAGGUGAAAGCCCGGGGCUCAACUCCGGAACUGCCUUUGAAACUAGAUUGCUAGAAUCUUGGAGAGGCGAGUGGAAUUCCGAGUGUAGAGGUGAAAUUCGUAGAUAUCUGGAGGAACACCGGUGGCGAAGGCGGCAUCCUGGACCGGUAUUGACGCUGAGGCGCGAAAGCUAGGGGAGCAAACGGG